rnacentral:other from 1 species
AAACUCCUGCCGUGUUCGCGAUUGUCAUAUAUUCCUUGAACCAUUCAAAUGCAUCGGUUGCGGGACAAGUUCGAUAGGUGUGCGCGUCGCUCGUUCGACGAACCCGAAAUUGAACUGACCGCGACCACCUUGGACCGCUUUGGUUCGGGAUGCCGGCAUAGCGGCACAGGUGGGUUCA